rnacentral:rRNA from 1 species
UAUCGCAAGAGUUUGAAUUUGGCUCAGAAUCAACGUUAUCUAGAAGUUUAAUACAUGCUAGUUGAAUGAAUAUUAUAUAUUCAUAGCGACCAGGUGAGGAAUAAAUAGGAAGCUACACCAUGGAUAGGGUUAAUCCCUAAUAUACUUCUGGCUUGCCAGAAGAAAAAGGAAAGUUUUCGCCGCGGGAUGUGCCUAUUUCGGAUUAGGUAGUUGGUAAGGUAAUGGCUUACCAAGCCUAUUAUCCGUAGCGAGUCUGAGAGGAGGGUUCGCCACAAUGGCUCUGAAAUAAUAGCCAUACCUAACAAAAAGGUCAGCAGUAAAGAAUUUUGGACAAUGAUCGAAAGAUUGAUCCAGCUAACUAGAAGAGGAAAAGCAUCUUUAUGGUAUACCUCUAAGAUAGGGAGGAUAAUGACGUUACCUAUUUAUUAAUCCCGACCAAUCUCGUGCCAGCAGUCGCGGUAAUACGAGAGGGGUUAACGUUAUUCAGCAUAAAUGGGUCUAAAGCGUAUGUAGGUUGUAUUAUCAAACAGUAGUUAUAAAAUUUCAAUAGAAAAACUAUAAAAUGUAAUUGAGAUACUAGAGUGUAAUUGAAGAUAGAGGAAUACUAGGAGUAAGGAUGAAAUCUUAUUAUACUUGGUAGACACACUAAAGGCGAAGGCAUCUAUCUAAUUAAACACUGACACUGAGAUACUAAAGUAUGGGGAGCAAAAAGGAUUAGAGACCCUUGUAGUCCAUACCCUAAACUAUGAGUGGAUAAAAUUGGAAAUUAAGUUCAGUUUUAAUGUGAAGACUAUACCACUCCACCUGGGGAGUACUGUCGCAAGAUUGAAACCCAAAAGUAUUGACGGUGCUGAAGACCAGCAGUGAAGCAUGUUAUUUAAUUCGAUAAUCCACGCAUAACCUUACCACUUCUUGCAAUGUACCAAUAUAAUUGGUAACACAGGCGUUGCAUGGCUGUCGUCAGCUUGUAUCGUAAGACGUUAGAUUAAUUUCGUUAACAAGCAAAACCCUUGUCUGUAAUUAUAAAAAUUAAAAAUAAGAAGAUCUACCCUUGGGUGAAAUUUUGUAUAAAGUUUAAUUUAAACUACAGAAGUACUCGAUUAAUGUUGAGUUAAUUAGGACUAAGACAAGCCUUCAUGGCCCUUAUGAAGUGGGCUAUAGACGUGCCACAAAGACCUUUACAAUAAGAAGCAAAAAUUUAUAUUUGAGCUAAUCUUUAAAAAAGGUUAAUAAACGAAUUAUAAUCUGCAACUCGAUUAUAUGAAGUAGGAAUUGCUAGUAAUCAGGAAUCAGGAUGUCCUGGUGAAACAUAAUAUUCGGCGUGUACAAAUCGCUCGUCAAGCGGCGGAAGUGAAGUAAUCUCAAAUAGGGAGGUCUUAUUUAUAAUUUAUCUUAACUAAAAUAGUUACCAUUAAAACGGUAUCCAGAUAUAAUUUAUAUCUAUGAUUUCUCCUUAUGUCCAUUUCUUCACAACUGCUGUUAAGUCGAAACAUAGUCCGGGUACGGGAACGUGCUGGGGAGUAGUUAUAAAC